AAAAAAAACAGAACCCUGCUCUGCCUGCCUCAGCGGUCUCUGAAAGACCUUGCCCAAAGACAAACCAACCAGCCUGGUUCAUCAAUGACAAGAGUGACUGAGGUUGGACAACAGCGGCAACUCGGGCGGAGUUUGAACUGGACACACAGGGAGGCAGUGCUCUGGCGGGGCAGUACAAGGCAGCGAUGGAAACAAGACACAGAGAUCGCGCAGCCGGCGCGCUCGAGGAGGGAGGAAAGUCCCGCCGGACCCACUCACGGCGCCGCGGAACCCCCGAAGCUGACCACGUGCACGAAGGCGGAAGCGGGCAACGUUGGAAGGCGGCCGAAGGCGGACAAAAGUCUUUCUGGGACGCGCCUAGCGGGGUGGACCCAGUGGGUGGGGCUUCCCACCAGGAUCCAAGCCAGUCUAGAUGCCGUUUUCCAGAGAGGGGAAAGGCUCUACGUCGGCGUGGCUUGAAAAGUGAAACAACCUCAUUAAAAUGUGCAGGUUAGGAAUGCACCAGGGAGCCACUCAGCAGGUAAUAACUGCAGAUGCAUAGAUAGUCCCAGCACCGACUCAGUGCUACUGAGCAGGCCCUUGCCUGGCCCAUGGCACCAACCCUGGCAUUGGGAGGUCACAGAUGCUCUCGCAGUUACACCACUGGCUUUGUGGUGUGUGGACCAUCAAGUUUCCCAGCAUUUGUUAUUUCCAGAAGCUGCUCCAAUUUCCGGACGCUGUUGUGUUUAAUGACAUAAAACCUUCUCAUUAUGUAGCCCUGACCCGC
rnacentral:lncRNA from 1 species